GACGAACGCUGGCGGCGUGCCUAAUACAUGCAAGUCGAACGCUUCUUUCCUCCCGAGUGCUUGCACUCAAUUGGAAAGAGGAGUGGCGGACGGGUGAGUAACACGUGGGUAACCUACCCAUCAGAGGGGGAUAACACUUGGAAACAGGUGCUAAUACCGCAUAACAGUUUAUGCCGCAUGGCAUAAGAGUGAAAGGCGCUUUCGGGUGUCGUUGAUGGAUGGACCCGCGGUGCAUUAGCUAGUUGGUGAGGUAACGGCUCACCAAGGCCACGAUGCAUAGCCGACCUGAGAGGGUGAUCGGCCACACUGGGACUGAGACACGGCCCAGACUCCUACGGGAGGCAGCAGUAGGGAAUCUUCGGCAAUGGACGAAAGUCUGACCGUGCAACGCCGCGUGAGUGAAGAAGGUUUUCGGAUCGUAAAACUCUGUUGUUAGAGAAGAACAAGGACGUUAGUAACUGAACGUCCCCUGACGGUAUCUAACCAGAAAGCCACGGCUAACUACGUG
rnacentral:rRNA from 1 species